GAUGAACGCUGGCGGCGUGCUUAACACAUGCAAGUCGAACGAUGAAGCCCAGCUUGCUGGGUGGAUCAGUGGCGAACGGGUGAGUAACACGUGAGCAACCUGCCCCUGACUCUGGGAUAAGCGCUGGAAACGGCGUCUAAUACUGGAUAUGUCCCGUCACCGCAUGGUGUGCGGGUGGAAAGAUUUUUCGGUUGGGGAUGGGCUCGCGGCCUAUCAGCUUGUUGGUGAGGUAAUGGCUCACCAAGGCGUCGACGGGUAGCCGGCCUGAGAGGGUGACCGGCCACACUGGGACUGAGACACGGCCCAGACUCCUACGGGAGGCAGCAGUGGGGAAUAUUGCACAAUGGGCGGAAGCCUGAUGCAGCAACGCCGCGUGAGGGAUGACGGCCUUCGGGUUGUAAACCUCUUUUAGCAGGGAAGAAGCGAAAGUGACGGUACCUGCAGAAAAAGCACCGGCUAACUACGUG
rnacentral:rRNA from 1 species